CGCUCUUGUGGGUUGUGGGCGAAGCUUGGUCGACAUUAGCGAAUAUUUUGUUGUAUAUUUCGCCGUCAGGACUUGUUCUUGCUGCCAUUUGUCGUAUGCGGUUUCACAACAAGAGGCUUCCUUGUUGUCUCGUCUUUCACAGACCACGUUGCAACGCUUGUUUGCCAGCAGUUUGAGAACUUAAUUCGCAUCACAACGAAGGAAGUCGGUGUAUAAUUUUCGAUAGCUGUUUGUGCUGGCUGUAGAUUAUUAUGUCGACAGCUCCUAUUGGUGUGAGCGUACCCGAUUCAGAAACGCUAAGCUCGGAGAAAUCGAAGAAAUUUACAGUA